rnacentral:lncRNA from 1 species
CUCCAGCUCCCACAACAGGCUCUGCUGCUGCUCCACUCCCUAUGACAGGCCCUCUGGUUACCCCAGCCCUUACAUCUAAAACAGAGAAUCAACCUGUGCUGAUAUCAGUUGCUCCUAUAUACAAAAGAAAGAAACAAACAAAAAAAUGGCUGCAAAAAUCAGCUCAUUUGGUAAGAAAAGAAUCUCCUACUAAGAAGGAGAUGAAAGAAGAGGAUGAGGAAGACUGUGAUGAAACAGGGCCAUCACAUGGAUGGAAGGAGGAAGAGGCACAACUCAUAAAGGAAGUCAAUACCUGGAACAACCUUCACGUGCUACCAUAUCAGAAUUAGAUUCAGGGAAGAAUAGAACAGCAAGAUACAGAGGAUGCAACACAGUCAAAAGGCACAGAACAGCUAGAAACAAGCCUCUCCACAAAAGAAAGAAUUACCUUCUUAUAAGAACAAUAUAGAAAACUCAGUUUAAGAGUGCCUUGUGAAGCUGGAUUUUUGAAAUUCAGAGAGUCCAGACCAUUGUCUCCACUUUUGAAGCUACCGAUUUAAAACAGAGGAUACUGCAGACAUUUGAUCCUUUUAGGACUUUGGUGAAUUAGCCCAGCGCUAUCUGUUAUGG